CACCUUUGAUUUCCCAUUUCAGUGAUGGUUUAAAUGAUAUGAAUCCCAUACCUGCUGUUUUUUAUUCAAAGUGCACUUAGUCUCUGAUUUAUUUGUUUCAACUGUGGGAUAUUAAAAAAAAGACAGAAGUUUAUAGAAUGAAUUGCUCAGGUUAUGGUGUGAUGGGAGAGUGUUGCGCUGUGGUUCUGGAGUUUAAGGGCUGGCAAAGGGAGCCUGGCUUGCCGGUAAGAGGAGUGGGAGAGGCGGCCUUGUGAUCAAACAUGAAGACAUCUGUUUAGGAUUAGAGGAGCGAACAGCUGGACGAGCCCAAAAGUCCCAAAAGUAACGGACCACUUCACCCCAGUGAUGGAUUUGAAUCGUCCAACUGCUAUUGAGGACACAAGUAGUUAAAUCAAGCAUGGAGAAGCUCAUCGGUCGUUUUCGUAAUGACGUGCUCCUUUUGACGCAACUGAAAAAUCACAGGAGUAAGGGGGCUGCAUCUGAGGAUGCUGGGGCGCGUCUCCCCUCAGCAGCGGGGUCCCUUAUGGCAUGUUUGUGGGCCCUGUGUCUUCGGUGAGGGCAACGGCUGAAGUUACAGCUGGCGCUGGUUGAGAAGAGAGAAGCAGAGCAGGAAGUGCAGCCUCGGUCCAACCCCGAGCCGAUGCUGAGGUCCAUAAACACUGUCACUGCCAAGACGUCACCACACUCCGCGACGUCCUGCGGAGAAUCGCUCAGUACGGCGUGAGACCACCACACCAGCUGCUGGCAGCAGUUUUGCAGGAGACGCCCGCACUCCAGUCGGCUUGGAACACUGUUCACGAGCUUCCUCGCUUCCCAGAAGUGAGUUUUUUUCAAGGUCUGGCUUUGAAUGACAGGGAAGAGCCAUUAGAAGCCAGGAACUCUACAAGAAUGAUGCCAGAGAGUGUGCUGUGGAAAUGACUGCAUGAGAAGCUCACUGGCGACUGGCUCAUGCUGCUGCAUCCUCUGCUGUCUGUCAGCCAUGUGUGGACGUCUAGCCUCAUAGUCUUAUUUUGAAUUCCAACAUUGAUAAAAAACACAUGUGGAUUUACCUUAACUGCCUAGCUGUGCAUGAUAUGAUAAGCCGUGUUGUCACUAGAAGAGGCCAUAUAUUUCAAACAAGAUCAAUGGAAUCCAUGCUGUUUUAGCAAUACGAUGUCAUCUGAGCCAUAAUCAUAAUCGUGAUCACUGUUUCGCCGCACUGUCUGCGCAGACUCCCUGAGGACUUUUUCCUUUGUUCUGAUCCCACGCAUUGUCCAUGAUUCGCUGACACAAGUGUGACACAUUGGGGUUGGUCAGCAGGACUAAUUAUGCAGUUACCGGCAUGCUGUGCCACUGCUUGUAUUACACCAAUAGUGGCUGUUACAGAAGAGAGCAACUUCCAUUAAAAUGACUCCAGUCCAGGCCACACUGCAUUUAUUUGCGUGCUGUAUGUGGAUCUGCUGCAUCGAAAAAUUCUGCCCUCUAGGGUUGCGGCAUGAUAGACAAUGAAGAGGGUGCCAUUUCCGGGAUGCCACUGAUUUUUCACUCCAGUGUUUUUGAUUUCAGUUUGUUCAGACGUUGUUUGAAAUAUAUGACCACCUCAAACGUGCUUUUUAUUGACUUUGUGUUGGUAGAGGUUAUGCACAUGUUCAGAUGCAACAUUAAUGAGAUAAAUUCAAACAACAGUACGCAAUACGGCGGCUAACAUUUUCGGUUCGCUUCCACAUGCAGCUGCUAGCUGGCACCAUGACUCUUUUGCAAACCUCCAUCGGUUAGCGUUAGCGAAACAGCGCUCUG